rnacentral:rRNA from 1 species
AGAGUUUGAUCCUGGCUCAGGAUAACGCUGGCGGCAUGCCUAAGACAUGCAAGUCGAACGAAGUAGCCCAUUGAAGAUGAAGUGCUUGCACAGAUUCGGACGUGGAUUUUCUACUUAGUGGCGAACGGGUGAGUAACACGUAGACAACCUACCUUUAAGUCGGGGACAACACUUGGAAACGAGUGCUAAUACCGGAUGAUAUCAAGAUUUUAGGUUAUCUUUAUUAAAAGGAGCUUUCAAGCUUCGCUUUUAGAUGGGUCUGCGGUGUAUUAGUUAGUUGGUGGGGUAACGGCCUACCAAGACAAUGAUGCAUAGCCGAGCUGAGAGGCUCAACGGCCACACUGGAACUGAGAUACGGUCCAGACUCCUACGGGAGGCAGCAGUUAGGAAUAUUCGUCAAUGGGGGAAACCCUGAACGAGCAAUGCCGCGUGAGUGAUGACGGUCUUAUGAUUGUAAAGCUCUGUUGUACAGGAAGAACAGUUAGUAUAGGAAAUGAUACUAGCNNGAGGGACG